UCUGAACAGGUUAUAUGGACAAACAAAAUAUGGUUGCUGCCUUCAUAGGACACCAACAACUCUUACACCAACCUUCUGACACUCAAUCUUACAUGUUUUCACACCUGCUUACAGUGCAGUUUAUCUAUCCAGCAAGAAACUGCUUCUUAUGGAAAACCUACAUGACGAGAAAUGAAACAAGACAUGGGGCCAAUUUCUGUGAAGAGUCCAACCUGCAAAGAAAGAGAAUAAAAGAUAAGAACUAAAGCUCCACUUCUCCAGACCCUCCUUCUGAAUCCUCCUACAGUCAGUUUUACGACAGUUCAACCUUUGUUUCGUUCUUUCUUGUCCAUGCUGUGGAACCACGGAGUGGCCGGAAUGUCAAAAGUCAAAGCACCUCUUGCCCUGCUUCAAUGUGAUAACAGGAGAUUCAAUCCCAGCAAACUGUAUUCUGCCACGGGCUACUUGACUCAUCCUGUUUCCUUCCCUACAGUACAACCCAAGCAUCACCUCUUUGUGCUUUCCCUCAGUUUAUGAAGAAGGAAAUGGGUCCAUUAGUGUUUUAUUUCUAGCUGGGAGCAAGCGAUGCUUUCUCAUGGAUGGAUCAUAAUAGUGAAUUUAGCCUUAAGCAAGCAAACCUUCCUCAAAUCAACACUUGCUUUUUGGGAUGCUAAUGCAACAAGUGAUCGCUUUGAUUUGCAAAUGCAUAAGAAAGCAGUGUUACUCAGAUCUAAAGCUUUGGCAAACUGU